rnacentral:rRNA from 1 species
AUUGAACGCUGGCGGCAUGCCUUACACAUGCAAGUCGAACGGUAACAGGUCUUCGGAUGCUGACGAGUGGCGAACGGGUGAGUAAUACAUCGGAACGUGCCCGAUCGUGGGGGAUAACGGAGCGAAAGCUUUGCUAAUACCGCAUACGAUCUACGGAUGAAAGCAGGGGACCGCAAGGCCUUGCGCGGACGGAGCGGCCGAUGGCAGAUUAGGUAGUUGGUGGGAUAAAAGCUUACCAAGCCGACGAUCUGUAGCUGGUCUGAGAGGACGACCAGCCACACUGGGACUGAGACACGGCCCAGUCUCCUACGGGAGGCAGCAGUGGGGAAUUUUGGACAAUGGGCGAAAGCCUGAUCCAGCCAUGCCGCGUGCAGGAUGAAGGCCUUCGGGUUGUAAACUGCUUUUGUACGGAACGAAAAGACUCUUUCUAAUAAAGAGGGUCCAUGACGGUACCGUAAGAAUAAGCACCGGCUAACUACGUG